rnacentral:rRNA from 1 species
CUACGGGUGGCAGCAGUGAGGAAUAUUGCGCAAUGGGGGAAACCCUGACGCAGCAACGCCGCGUGAGUGAAGAAGGCUUUCGGGUCGUAAAGCUCUGUCAGAUAGGAAAAAAGUUCAUAUGUAAAUAGUUUAUGAAUCUGAUGGUACUAUCAGAGGAAGCACCGGCUAACUCCGUGCCAGCAGCCGCGGUAAUACGGAGGGUGCAAGCGUUGUUCGGAAUUACUGGGCGUAAAGGGCGUGUAGGCGGUAUGGUAAGUCAGAUGUGAAAGCCCUGGGCUUAACUCAGGAAGUGCAUUUGAUACUGCCAUCCUUGAGUAUGGGAGAGGAGAGUAGAAUUCCCAGUGUAGAGGUGAAAUUCGUAGAUAUUGGGAGGAAUACCCGUGGCGAAGGCGACUCUCUGGACCAAUACUGACGCUGAGACGCGAAAGCGUGGGGAGCAAACAGGAUUAGAUACCCGGGUAGUC